rnacentral:rRNA from 1 species
UCGGCAAUGGACGAAAGUCUGACCGAGCGACGCCGCGUGUGGGAUGAAGGUCUUCGGAUUGUAAACCACUGUCGAGGGGGAUUAAGGGAAACUUGAAAGAACCCUGGAGGAAGGGGAGGCUAAGCUCGUGCCAGCAGCCGCGGUAAGACGAGCUCCCCAAACGUUAUUCGGUAUUACUGGGCUUAAAGAGUUCGUAGGCGGCGAAGUAGGUGAGGUGUGAAAGCCCUCGGCUCAACCGAGGAACUGCGCUUCAAACCACUUUGCUAGAGGGAGAUAGGGGUAAGCGGAACAGAUGGUGGAACGGUGAAAUGUAUUGAUAUCAUCUGGAACACCGGUGGCGAAAGCGGCUUACUGGGUCUUUUCUGACGCUGAGGAACGAAAGCUAGGGUAGCGAACGGGAUUAGAUACCCCGGUAGUCCUAGCCGUAAACGAUGAGCACUAGUCUGAGGGACUUUCACGGUUUCUCGGACGUAGCGAAAGUGUUAAGUGCUCCGCCUGGGGAGUAUGGUCGCAAGGCUGAAACUCAAAGG